rnacentral:rRNA from 1 species
UACGUAGGGGGCGAGCGUUGUCCGGAAUCAUUGGGCGUAAAGCGCGUGUAGGCGGCUCGAUAAGUCCGGUGUGAAACCUUGGGGCUCAACCCCAAGCCUGCACUGGAUACUGCCGAGCUAGAGUCCGGGAGGGGAGAGCGGAAUUCCUAGUGUAGCGGUGAAAUGCGCAGAUAUUAGGAAGAACACCGGUGGCGAAGGCGGCUCUCUGGAACGGUACUGACGCUGAGGAGCGAAAGCGUGGGGAGCGAUCCGG